rnacentral:rRNA from 1 species
GGGGAGGUUAACGGGAAUUCUGGGGGCGUAAGCGCGCGUAGGCGGUUUAUUAAGUCAGAUGUGAAAGCCCCUUGGAAAAAACUGGGAAUUGCAUUUGAGACUGGUAGGCUCCAGUGUGGAAAAGGUGAGUGGAAUUUCAGGUGUAGCGGUGAAAUGCGUAGAGAUCUGAAGGAACAUCAGUGGCGAAGGCGACUCACUGGGCCAUUACUGACGCUGAGGUGCGAAAGCGUGGGUAGCAAACAGGAUUAGAUACCCUGGUAGUCCACGCCCUAAACGAUGUCAACUAGGUGUAUGGAGAAUUUAUUCUUUGUGUAUCGAAGCUAACGCGAUAAGUUGACCGCCUGGGGAGUACGGUCGCAAGACUAAAACUCAAAUGAAUUGACGGGGGCCCGCACAAGCGGUGGAGCAUGUGGUUUAACUCGAUGCAACGCGAAGAACCCUACCUGGCCUUGACAUGUACGGAAGAUUGAAGAGAUUCGAUUGUGCCUUCGGGAACCGUAACACAGGUGCUGCAUGG